CCUACGGGUGGCAGCAGUGGGGAAUAUUGCACAAUGGGCGCAAGCCUGAUGCAGCCAUGCCGCGUGUGUGAAGAAGGCCUUCGGGUUGUAAAGCACUUUCAGCGGGGAGGAAGGCGUUAAGGUUAAUAACCUUGGCGAUUGACGUUACCCGCAGAAGAAGCACCGGCUAACUCCGUGCCAGCAGCCGCGGUAAUACGGAGGGUGCAAGCGUUAAUCGGAAUUACUGGGCGUAAAGCGCACGCAGGCGGUCUGUCAAGUCGGAUGUGGAAUCCCCGGGCUCAACCUGGGAACUGCAUUCGAAACUGGCAGGCUAGAGUCUUGUAGAGGGGGGUAGAAUUCCAGGUGUAGCGGUGAAAUGCGUAGAGAUCUGGAGGAAUACCGGUGGCGAAGGCGGCCCCCUGGACAAAGACUGACGCUCAGGUGCGAAAGCGUGGGGAGCAAACAGGAUUAGAUACCCUUGUAGUC
rnacentral:rRNA from 1 species